CUGCCCUCUGGAAGACCAUGAUGGAGAUAUGCUUUUAGAGCUCGGCUGUUAGCGAAGUUGGAACAGAAAACUGCUGGAGGAACUCAGCGGGUCAGGCAGCAUCUGUGGAGGGAAUGGACACACUAUGUUUGGAUCAGGAACCUUCAAGACUCCAUUCUUAUCUCCAUUCUUAUCUGGGUUAUGAUGACAGGAAAUGGCCAAGAUUUAUGAUCACCGUGGACUGGAAUGACAGAUGAUUGAAGAUCUCAAAGUUCUCUGCGACCUUCCACAUCUGGAGCUGGAUAAGCUGUUGAGGAACAACUUGGUGAGAUUUCUUCUGGCCCUGGAUCUCCUCCAGAUUGUUUGAAGGGCCAAACAUGACAGAUGUGUGAGUGCCAGCAGUUAUCCGGCGGAUGCCGGAGGUUGGUCGAGGACGCGCCGCCAAGAGAACACGGUAUCUGCGGAGGGAAUGGACAGAUGACGUUUUGAUCGGGAUCCUUCAAGACUCCAUGCUUGUCUCCAUUUACUAAGUCGAUUUCUGACGACUGGAAAUGGCCACGUUUGAUGAUCACCAUGGAUUUGAAUGACAGAUCCUUGAAGAUCCCGAAGGCUGAAUCUUGCUCCACCUUCUCUGUUCACAUACGGAGCUGGUCAAGAACAGACUCAGCCAGAGGUGGCCGCGGACAAGGACGAGCCCAGUGUCUGCCGAGAACAAGGGUCAAGGAUGGGCCCAUGGUAGGUGCCGGAGGUCGGUCAAGGACGCGCAUCCUAGAGAACAAAGAGGAAUGGACAGACUAUGUGUGGAUCGGGAACCUUCAAGACCUCAUUCGGGACCACAUUUGUCAAUCAUCACCCCAACAGAAGAAAGACUUCCGGGGCUGAUGGGCAGACUGUCUCAAGCUCGCAACAAAGACCGACUGACAAUCAUCAGAGAGAGGGUGGUGUCCCUCAACACACGCGUAACACCAACAUUGUCAUACUGCUCAAGGACAAGGAGAUCACAGCUAGUGCAACAACUACAGGGACAUCGCACUUCUGAGUGUUACAGGAAAGGCCUUUGCCAGAGUGAUCCUACAAAGACUGCACAGACUCGCUGACCUGAGGCACAAUGUGGUUUCCAUGGAGAUAGAUCCACCAUGGACAUGAUCUCCCUGCGUCAAAACCAAGAAAAAUGUACAGGGAGGUCACUAAUGCAUGGUGGUGGAGGCCAAUACCUGAGUGUCGUAUGGGUACGGAGGGACAUGGAACUUGUGCAGGCAAGUAAGAGUUGGUUUUGGGAUUAUGUUUGGCAUAUUAUUUAAUUAUUUCUUAGCAUCUUAAGGGCCCUGUAAAUUUAACGAUACUCUGAUAAAAUGUUCAGUAUUAAAUAAAUGCCUACUGUAGAACAUUGUCCACAGUGUAAUUAAAGACGCGGUUCAUAAUAUCUCGUAGUUGUAGUGAGUGUCUAGAAUAUGCGAUGGGGUGGGCUGGUAGUUGAGGCAGGCACGAUAGUGGCAUUUUAGCAACUUUUGUUUCGUACAGGUUUCUUGUCUCCAUUUACCAUUCUCAUGACAGGAAAUGGCCAAGAUUGAUGAUCACCAUGGACUUGAAUGACAGAAAAUUGAAGCCGCUCAAGACCGGACUCGGCCCGCAGUGGCCAUGAACAAGGACGAACCCAGCACUCGAAGUGACAGCUGAGACAAGUGUCAAGUACGGGCCCUCGGUAGGUGCCGGAGGUCAGACUGCUCACGGAAUGGUGCGCCGCCGAGAAGGAAGAGGAACCAUCGAGACCAUAUUGGUCACUCAUCACCCCAACAGAAGAAGGACUUCAGGGGCUGAUGGACAGACUGUCUCAUGCUUGGAAUGAUUACCGACUGACAAUCAGUAUUAAGACGAAUGUUGUCAUGGGUCAAGGCAUUCCACUCCCCUCUGAAAUCAUUCUAAACACCAGUCAGCUGGAAAUUGUCAUCCAAUUCACCUACCUAGGAUCAACAGUGACUGGUAGCCACUCUCUGGACGAGGAAAUCAAUUCACCUACAGUAAACCACCUUCUGGGGGAUAUCCAAGCAGACAUGGAAGAACAGGAAUAAUAAUGUCUUAUUGGCAGCAUUCCCUCAGAUUAUCAAUCUCUCUCCUGUACUCUGACUCUCAUUAUCCAUUAUUUGUCCCAACAUCUGUGGAUUCGUCGGUGAAAUUUAAAGACGGCAUUGGAAUGGUCUGGCUUUGCAGUCCUGGUCAUAGAGCAGGGGGCUGAGCACACAGCCUUGAGCUGGUCCUGUGUUGGUUAUAGUGGAGAGGGUGUUGCCAGUUUGUGCAGAGCUGGAGGCCUUGCUCGAGCUUAAGUUUGAGCCCCACGGCAGGGCCGUGGACUUACCAUCCGAGCCUGAAAUCCCUUUCCUGUGAUCGACACUGCCUGCGAAUUUCAACAUCAAAGAGCUCGUAAUCUCGGGUAGAGACUGAUAUCGGGAAGGUCCAAAGUCGCAUGAGGUUCGACCAGCCCCAACCCGUGAUCUGAUCAUCUGGCGCGGGGGAGCUGAGAUCGCCCCGACGCGGAAGGCCCGACCUCCGACUACGGGAGCCAAGAUCGCCGCGUCAAAGGAAGUCUCGAGCCCCCCCACCACGGGAGAACAAAGAAAGGAAGAGAUUUAACUUUUUCCAUGGGGAUCAUCAGCCUCUGAUUGACCUGGGAUUGACCAAAGGACAAGUUCUGAAGAGAUGGCCAUGUACCAAGGGAAACAUGUAGAAGCUUCAUCGCUCCAAGUCAAGUCAAGUUUAUUUGUCACAUAUGCAUACGAGAUGUGCAGUGAAAUGAAAAGUGGCAAUGCCAGUGGAAUGUGCACUCCUGACUCUCCUGUGUUCCUGAGGAUGUGCUGCUACUCGGAAUAGACUGAGCUGCUUCUCCGCCUAACUGCCUUCCCGUGCCUGGCAUGGGACAUCGCUCGAGACUUCAAGUACAUCUAUUUAUUCUGAGGCUAUGGCUUCUGGUCCAAGACUCCGACUGCUGGAAACAUCCUUUCCACAUCCUCUCUUACUAUUCGGAUUGCUUAUUAUGGGCCUUUGGGAUCUUCAGUGUUGCCCUGCCCUUCAAGUCAAUGGCUGAUGAUCUACCUCCAACAUUUUGCUGCUCAGUGCCAAAGGCAAAAAUCGAGCAGAAACCCAUUGAAGCCUCAUUACUACGGAAUGCAAUCUGUUCCAAAGAGAGAGAUCAGAUGUCACCAGAAACCCACUGUAACCACUCUGGACACUGCUCUUCCAGGGUUCAGGACGUUACUCAGUACGCACCCUUCCAAAGUUUGUCUAUGAAGAUAGCAAGACUUAACCUGUGGAGGUCAUGAGGACCAGUUGGUGUACUGUCCAACCAAGGAGUUGUUCUGAAGUCUUGACCUCCCUUUCUUUUGCAGCAGGUGAUUCAAAUUCCCCCCCAUUCUUUCAAAGGUCACUGUAAAAGCCACUAAUAAAGAGCCGUGAU